rnacentral:rRNA from 1 species
GACGAACGCUGGCGGCGUGCUUAACACAUGCAAGUCGAACGGAAAGGCCCUUCGGGGUACUCGAGUGGCGAACGGGUGAGUAACACAUGGGUGAUCUGCCCUGCACUUUGGGAUAAGCCUGGGAAACUGGGUCUAAUACCGAAUAGGACCACGCUCUUCAUGGGGUGUGGUGGAAAGCUUUUGCGGUGUGGGAUGGGCCCGCGGCCUAUCAGCUUGUUGGUGGGGUAAUGGCCUACCAAGGCGACGACGGGUAGCCGGCCUGAGAGGGUGACCGGCCACACUGGGACUGAGAUACGGCCCAGACUCCUACGGGAGGCAGCAGUGGGGAAUAUUGCACAAUGGGCGCAAGCCUGAUGCAGCGACGCCGCGUGAGGGAUGACGGCCUUCGGGCUGUAAACCUCUUUCAGUACCGACGAAGCGCAAGUGACGGUAGGUACAGAAGAAGGACCGGCCAACUACGUGCCAGCCGCCGCGGUAAUAC